UGAGGAAUAUUGGGCAAUGCCCGCAAGGGUGACCCAGCAACGCCGCGUGGAGGAUGAAUGUCGUAAGAUUGUAAACUCCUGUUAGAGGGGAAGAAUAGUACCGGUUGGACCGGUAUAUGACUGUACCCUCAGAGAAAGCCCCGGCUAACUACGUGCCAGCAGCCGCGGUAAUACGUAGGGGGCAAGCGUUGUCCGGAUUUACUGGGUGUAAAGGGCGCGCAGGCGGGAUAAAAAGUCAGUGGUGAAAUCCUACAGCUUAACUGUAGAGCUGCCUUUGAUACUUUUAUUCUUGAGUUCGGGAGAGAGAGACGGAAUUCCAGGUGUAGUGGUGAAAUACGUAGAUAUCUGGAAGAACACCAGUUGCGAAGGCGGUCUCUUGGUCCGACACUGACGCUGAGGCGCGAAAGCGUGGGGAGCAAACA
rnacentral:rRNA from 1 species